rnacentral:rRNA from 1 species
UUCCUGGCUCAGGACGAACGCUGGCGGCGUGCCUAAUACAUGCAAGUCGAGCGGAGUUGAUGAGGUGCUUGCACCUCUGAUACUUAGCGGCGGCCCUGGGUGAGUAACACGUGGGUAACCUGCCUGUAAGACUGGGAUAACAUUCGGAAACGAAUGCUAAUACCGGAUACGCGAUUUGGUCGCAUGACCGAAUCGGGAAAGAUGGAGCAAUCUAUCACUUACAGAUGGACCCGCGGCGCAUUAGCUAGUUGGUGAGGUAACGGCUCACCAAGGCGACGAUGCGUAGCCGACCUGAGAGGGUGAUCGGCCACACUGGGACUGAGACACGGCCCAGACUCCUACGGGAGGCAGCAGUAGGGAAUCUUCCGCAAUGGACGAAAGUCUGACGGAGCAACGCCGCGUGAGUGAUGAAGGUUUUCGGAUCGUAAAGCAUCUGUUGCCAGGGAAGAAUGCUUGGGAGAGUAACUGCUCCUCAAGGUGACGGUACCUGAGAAGAAAGCCCCGGCUAACUACGUGCCAGCAGCCGCGGUAAUACGUAGGGGGCAAGCGUUGUCCGGAAUUAUUGGGCGUAAAGCGCGCGCAGGCGGCCUUGUAAGUCUGUUGUUUAAACUUGGGGCUCAACCCCAAGUCGCAAGGGAAACUGCAAAGCUUGA